AGAGUUUGAUCAUGGCUCAGGGUGAACGCUGGCGGCGUGCCUAACACAUGCAAGUCGAGCGGGUACCCGCAAGGGUACCAGCGGCGCACGGGUGAGUAACACGUGGGUAAUCUACCCCUCGGAGGGGGAUAACCGGGGGAAACCCCGGCUAAUACCCCAUACGAUCCGGCAACGAAGGUUGCUGGAUGAAAGGGGCGUUUGCUCCGCCGAGGGAUGAGCCCGCGGCCCAUCAGGUAGUUGGUGGGGUAAUGGCCCACCAAGCCUACGACGGGUAGCCGGCCUGAGAGGGUGGUCGGCCACAAGGGCACUGAGACACGGGCCCUACUCCUACGGGAGGCAGCAGUGGGGAAUCUUGGACAAUGGGCGAAAGCCUGAUCCAGCGACGCCGCGUGGGGGAUGAAGCCCUUCGGGGUGUAAACCCCUGUUGCGAGGGAGGAAUAAGGCCUGGAGGAAAUGCCAGGCCGAUGACUGUACCUCGCGAGGAAGCCCCGGCUAACUACGUGCCAGCAGCCGCGGUAAUACGUAGGGGGCGAGCGUUACCCGGAUUCACUGGGCGUAAAGCGGGUGUAGGCGGCUCGGUAAGUCGGGUGUGAAAUCCCACAGCUCAACUGUGGAAUUGCGCCCGAAACUGCUGAGCUUGGGGCCGGUAGAGGGAGACGGAACUGCCGGUGUAGGGGUGAAAUCCGUAGAUAUCGGCAGGAACGCCGGUGGGGAAGCCGGUCUCCUGGGCCGCGCCCGACGCUGAGACCCGAAAGCUAGGGGAGCAAACCGGAUUAGAUACCCGGGUAGUCCUAGCCGUAAACGAUGCCCACUAGGUGUGGGGGAUUAAUUCCUCCGUGCUGUAGCUAACGCGUUAAGUGGGCCGCCUGGGGAGUACGCCCGCAAGGUGAAACUCAAGGGAUUGACGG
rnacentral:rRNA from 1 species